GAACACCCCUCCCCUCCCUGCUCCGACCGCCCCGCUUGGCCCCCGGCGGGCUGCGGGGAGCGGAGCGCCUCUGGACGGGAUUGCGGGAGGAGGCUGCGCCCCCCCUCCCCGCCGGGCCUGCGCCUUCCAUCCCCCAGUCCCCGCCGCUGCCGGGCGGGGGGAGCCGGUCCCCGCUGCCCCCCAGCGUGCCCUUGUGUCCCGGAAUAUGGGCAAGGAGCGGGAGCAUCCACGCCGCGCUCGCGGGGCUGCGGUGGGGCAAACGCGCUCCGAUUCCACACAUUAACAGAAAAAUUGGUGCUAACAGUGUUGCUGGUUUUAAAAUAAUAUUUAAUUUGUGCCUAAGGUCUUUUAGGACUGAUUGUGUUUGAGUUCAGGGCAUUAAAUGUCUCUUCAUUCAAACAUCCUGAGGAAAAAAAAUAUGCAUUGGAGGAAUGAAAGUCUUGACCCUAUUUUAAUGGCCUCGAUGCAAGUCUUUAAACGUGGGAAAGGGCUGCUCGCCAAGAAUUUUACCUGUGCCGAAGUCUGUAGGAUUGGGGCCUUGGAAAAGGCAUUAUUUUAUCAGCUGUUGUUUGCAUCUGUCAGAGUUUGUGUGUAACUUGAUAAAUGUUAAACAGGGAAGCAGAAAGUGCUGGUGAGGCCAGACUCGGAGAUAACGGCACAUUCAAUAGCUUAAUUUCACAAUUAGUUUACUGUAUUAUUGGAAGCAAAUCAUAUUUCACUGUGCCUACACUAGUGCUCUAUUUUUAGCCAUAAUCUAGCUAAAAAGGAGGAACCUACUGAGAUGUAUUAUAACAUCGAAUGUGAAAAAUUCUGUUCUCUCUCUUUUUACUCAUUUCGUGUCAUACAUCUGGUUUGGAAUACAGCUCAUUUAUUAAUUGAACAGAACUACCGUGGAUGGGCUGAUGGCUGCAAUUCCAAGGCAGAGGAAAGUUUCACGCAACUCUGCAAGGAACCCAGCAAGUUACAGCCAUGCAAAAAGCAUCCAAGCACACAGUCUGCUCUCCCAAUAACUGGCCUAGCCAGAACAACUAUUUUUUAUUAAUUUAGAAUUACAGUGUAUUUGCCUCUUUGGUUGCACUUUUUUUGUUUUACUUUUCUUGAUAUUUUUUUCAGGGUAAAGCUGUAAAUGAAAACGGCGUUUGAAAUGCUUCGAUGUAACCUUUGUGUUACAUCAUCUUUUUUAUUGUAUUUUUAAGAACAAAAAGGAAAUAUAAAAUAAAAUUGAAGGAAUAUACAGAUCUACUGCCUUAGUACCAAACAUUUGAUCCCUUCCCUUUCCCCUGUGACACAGACAGAGAUGGUUGCUGGAAGAAUAAAGCACCUUUCACGGUAUGUGCAAGAUGCUCACAGUUUUUCCACAAAUUCAGUAGAAACCUUAUUUGUUUUCUGUUUGUGGUUCACAGGAGCACUUAGCUUUUUAGUGGUUGACACUAUACCUAUUUUUAGCAGCAUUUUAACAGCUGUCACUAACAAAUACGAUCCCAUCUUGAAUGAGAAGGGGAGUUUAUCUGUUUUAUUUUAAAAAAUCAGACUACGUAGUUGUCAGAUUUUAAAAUGCAAUUUGGAUCUUUAUCUGUGAAGAGAAAAGGCUAUAUUUUCUCAUUAUGCCAAUUCCAUGGGGGAAAGAAAAGGGGGAUGUGUAGUGGGCUUGAUAAAGUAAUGACAGGGCUUUGCAAGGUUUGGAAAUAAUGUUAUUCAAAGGCAUACAAAUGUAUAUAUAGCCCAUUUCAGAUUUGGUUAAAAGUGGUCCUGUUUUGCUGCCUUCUGCAGCUGUGUUGCGGCGGGGGAAGCUGCAAAGAAUCAAGUCACAGUUUUCCAAGUAGGUCAAGAGGAGCAGCGCGGACACCUCCAAUGACCAAUUCUCUUCCCUCAUACUAGAUUUUCUAUGAGGUUAACUCAUGUCACACACAUGAUACUGAAAGCAUCAGACAGACAAGUGUUAGGGCACUCUUGCAGCAGCUGUCAUCUCUUUUCCUAAAGAUAGGGGCAAAUUUGCUAUGGAUAAUGUAUUACAAAACAAGAUAAUGCUGGAACUCGGCAAGUGUCAAAUUGUACAUCCUCCUGUGCUUAGAAAAGUGAGCGAAUUGGUAUUAGGGGCUGCAGGAGCAGCGAUGUAGUGUAAAAGCAGCCUACUGUACUGUCUUACUUAGAGGUCAUGUGCCCUAUUUUGAGAACUGAACCAAAGCGGAUGAAGUUUUGAGUCAGGUCCAACUAAGGCAGCUGGGCAUUUCCCACUUCUCUCCAGCUCUAGCCCAGGAAUGCAGGCAAUCACAUGGUCACACAUAUUAUUCCUUUACCCGACAUUACUCACCGUAGAUUUAAUUUUUGUGCCAUUUGGCUCCUGUGGGUUUGAUUAGUUGAGAUUUGCAGCUGGUCAGAAGUAGUUGCAUUUUGGGAAGACACCAGAAACACAUUGGGGAUGACAGGUGAGAAUUUACUUUCCCUGACCAACAGAUAUGAAUUUUCCAAGAGAGGAGUCCACAGUAUUUUCUGACUUGCCAGUUAAUUGUUUUAAAGCUAGUUUCCCAAGCCAUGCUGGAAGUCUUUAGAAUUCUUUACAAGAUAAAAUGUAAGUAAGCAUGUUUUCUGUAUGGUAUGUUUAUGUUCUCCAAGAUAUCAAUACUUUAUCUAUUUAGUCUAAUUUUGAACAAUUUUGUUGUCUAAUUAUAGAGAAAUCCUUUAGAUGAGCAACAGAACAUGUUCCCUUUUAACCUGUAUUCUUUCUUUUCUACCUUUUUUUCUUUUUUUUUUUUUUUUUGUUAAUGCUCUUUAAUGGCCAUGUUGUAACUGUGGUUGAACCACAUCUAAGUAUAGUACAAGUGCAUUUCUAAUGCACAUUGGCAUUAGAAACCACUUUCUUGUGCAAAGGGCCAAGACAUGCAUUUAAAAACAUCUAUUUCCAAUGCAUUUCAAAUCACAGUUUUUAUUGACUAUUAGCACCAAUAGUUUCAUCUGCUUCAAAAUAAAAACCUCCCACAGGGAGUUGCUUGUUGUGGAUAAUAGGUCCUGUAGAGAGUGGCAGGACAAGCAAAGCAUGAAGAAUAACACAUGGGCAGUACUUUGUAUUUUCUGGAGCUUUAAUAUUGUGACAUAUGUUUACAUCAUUUAUAGUCAGCUUCUCUCUUGCACCAUUUCUUGUACGAAUAUGCAAUUUGUAAAAAAAAUUGUCAUUGUCACAGAAAGCAGCCUUAUCUCGAUAUUAAUGAAUUCCCAAGCAAUAGAAGGUAGUGGCAGCUAAUUGUAUCUUAAUAUUUAUCUACUACCUACUGGCAUUUUUGCAAUAUCAAAUGGUAACUCAUGCCGUAAUCUGAUAAAAAAUUUGUAGUAACCAUAAUAGUACUGCCAAAAAUAGUACUGUGCCAAAAACCCAGACACAGUGCUUAACAGCAGUAAAAAGUGCAAAUAGCACCCUCCAGCACUUAAUAAACAUAUCAAAUGCAAAUUGGAGGAAAUUAUUUAAUCAGUCUAUAGGCUAGUUAAUUUUGAUGAUUAUUCACAGUUCUAGCAGCAAUACUUGAAGUGUGGAAUAAGUUAGUACCAAAUUGUCAUGACACCAAGGUCAUAAGCAGAAUUUGAAACUUGCUGCAUAGAGGAAAUUAUCUUCCUGAUUGAAUGAAGGUGCAGCUUUAAAGCUCCUACAUCAAAAGGAGAAUUCUUAUGUAAUUUUACAGAUUCUUUUAUAAUCCUGAAAUUGCCUGCUCCCAGAUAUUAUUCAAUGGGAGAUGGUUUGAUAUAAAACUGCAUGAUCAAAUUCAUAUUGAGACUUGAAAAACAUUUGUUGUCUACAUUUUUUUAAAAUCUGUAUUUCCUGGAGAAAAGAGAUUUUGACUGGACUCUCCCCAAAGUGUACAAUGAAGCAGAGACUGAGAAGAGCAAUGCUGUGAAGCUAAGAGAGUGAGGAAGAAACAUGUACAAGACAGAAAAGGAAAAGAAAAACCUAUUGAUUUUGGUGGAAGAUGCACUGCUUUCCUAAAUAAAUUUUGUUGAUUUUGUUCAUAUAUUGAACUCUCGCUUCCUUUGUAGGCUAUGAUCCAGCUCUAGGAGCCCCUUCAAUGUGUCCCCUAGGCCCACACUGGGCAGUUGAUUUUGCACAACAUGGAGAGUUGGUCCUUGCCAGAUGCACAUUGCUUUACACAGGUUUGGUUAAAAAAGGAACCAUAAGGCAGUGUUCUGAGUACAUGUCCUAGCUUUGGAGAUCAAGGUCACACCAGAAUUUGUCUGCCCUAGACUAAAUAUCUGGUAAUGAAAAGUCAUGCAUUCCAGCAUUUUCCCACUGAACUUAAGAGGACUUGGCUUACAAGUCACGAGGGAGAAAUUUUGGCACAUUAGAUUGGUUUGUCCGUAGUAACUCACAGGUGAGGGUAGUAUUCUCAUCAACCCUAUUGCCUGGCUGUGGUUCAUUCUCUUCUGGUUUAAACCAACUCAGCUUGGUUUCCACAAAGGGUGCUCUCUCUAUCAGUGCUUGUGCAAUCCUGGCACCUGCAGCAUCCAAGAGCCACACAGACCCAUUUCUUCUGAGUUCUAGAAAGAAGAGCAGCAUUAUCAGCAUUUUAUAAGCAGGGAGUGGAGGAACAAAGAGAUUGCAGGGUUUAUCUCAUGCCACUAAGAAGGUUACAAAGUACAAAGAUUAUUACUUCCCAAAUCACAAUCACCGCAUUCCAUUGAGGGACCAGGGUCCCUUUUCAGCCAUGGCCUUCCCAGGGAUGCUGCCAGAGCAUGAGUGACAUAGCCUUAAAACCCUUUUGGUUGUUGUCUGGGAAGGAAAACACGUGCUGUGCUUGAAUGGAGUCAUUAUUGGAAUGAAUUUUAGAAACCCCAUAUUGCUGGGGCUUUUACCAUAUGGAUUAGCAGCAGCCACUGAAGACUGAUAUUACCUUCCCUACCUGCUCAAACCUGGUCGGAGGAGUCACAUUCCAUGAAUACGCAAGAAUUUCUGGCAUGAAUGCUUGUACAUGCAUAUUUUGGCUCCCAUGCAUGUUGUUCAUGCACUCACCACUUUGAACUCUGCUUUUCAUGAGUAAUUCUGACCAAAAAAACUCAUUCCUUCAUAUAUGUAUCUAAAAUGUAAACACAUAAGAUGCCAAAUGGAAGUAAUAUCAUAAGCUUUUUGUUAUUUAUUCAUUUUUCAUUCCAUUCUCAGCCCUGGCUAGAUGCUCACAGAGUGGAAAUUAUGUACCACUCUCAAGAUUUCUAAAGGAAGAUCAGCCAGGACUCAAAGGAAAUCUUGUUUAAGAGUCAAAGUUGUUCCAUGGUAGGACUCAUAGAGGGUUUAGCAAACAAGAAUUUCUCUUGACAUGGUUCAUUUAUGUCCUCUAUGCAUGACUUAAAAUUGAAAACAUGAGCCUAUCAGAAAUCUUUUGUGUUCAACAGCUGCUUGUAAGACAUGACUACUUCCAAAUGUAAGAGCAGGUACUGAUCCUUUUAAUCUGGUUACUUUAGUCUUGCUCUAGGCAGAAGACACCUCUCACUGUGGUGCUAGUCCUGCAGGACUUCUCAAGUCCUAACCAUUACUCUUAUCUGUAAGAAGAAUAAAAAAGACCACUGAAAGGUGAUUAAGGUCCACUGUCCUUAACACAGGACAGUUAAGGAACUAGAGGUGCUGAGCUGUAUUUGCAUUAUUUAUACUACUAUUUUAUAGCCGCAAUAAUAGUGAUUGUAACAUGAUUUACAAUGUUUCUCUAUCAGGAGAGAAAGAAUUAGACCUUCUUUUAGUGGGAAUCAUUAAAAAAAUGAAUACAUAAAGUAGGCAGUACAAUCUGCCUGCACAUUUUUAUUUCAGAGCUUGUACUGAAGGGUGUCUAAGCAAGUGCUUCCUUGUAGAUCUAUUGUGGAGAGCAAAUGAAUCCCAGGGACUGUCGCUCCUUGUUGAUCAUCAGUGGGCGUAGAUGCAGUAGAUGUAAAGGUCUAUGACUCACUGAGCUAGCUAAGGUGAAACCAGAUGAGAGGAGAUAAUUGCACCAUUAUAAAAAGAAUUAUCAUAGUUUGAUUACAGAAAAAAAAAUCUUCUAAUGGUGCCAUAACUCUUGGGAGCUAGAAUAUGAGAUGGGACUGAAAGUGAGGAGUUCAUGUCAAGGAAUAGUAAAAUGUCCCUUUUAAUUGAUCCAUUCUAAUUAGACAUGCCAAAAAGAUGAUUUCAAGGAUUGAAGGUAUAAUUGGUCAAAACAGCCUAAGGUACAUCCCCAUGCCAGUUCUGAUUACAAAAAAAAAAAAAAAAAAAAAAAAAAAAAGACUAAUCAAAGAGAUGAAUUGACAAGGACAAGAAAUUUAUAAUUCCAGAGAUUACUGGAAUACUUCAUGAAUGAGAUGAUGCAACCUCCUGCCUUAUGCAUGAAAAUAGAUACUGAGUUUAAAAAUUACCCAUCUAGUCUGAUGAUCCAUACAUUGAAGAGUGAAAGAGAAGGGUUGCAGGUAAUCUAGACUGAUAUGAGAAAUUCUAAUACUUACAGUGAUAUGAAGAAUGCAUUUCCUUUUGACAGACAGUGAAGAUUUGGUGUCUGUAAGUCCAGAAACCAUGUCUAUAAAAUGCAGAAAGUAUUUGGGCAAUUAAGAACAAAAAGGAAAUGUGGUGUAAAUUAAUGGGCAUCUUUAUAGUUUACAUGGAAACACUUGUCAGGAUGGUUUCAUACCUUAUACAUUAUAAGCUGACUACAAUUUAAGCUGCAAAAGCAGAAUGAAGAAGACAAUAAAUUUUGAAGCACACUA